rnacentral:rRNA from 1 species
AUUGAACGCUGGCGGCAGGCCUAACACAUGCAAGUCGAGCGGAUGAGUGGAGCUUGCUCCAUGAUUCAGCGGCGGACGGGUGAGUAAUGCCUAGGAAUCUGCCUGGUAGUGGGGGACAACGUUUCGAAAGGAACGCUAAUACCGCAUACGUCCUACGGGAGAAAGCAGGGGACCUUCGGGCCUUGCGCUAUCAGAUGAGCCUAGGUCGGAUUAGCUAGUAGGUGAGGUAAUGGCUCCCUAGGCGACGAUCCGUAACUGGUCUGAGAGGAUGAUCAGUCACACUGGAACUGAGACACGGUCCAGACUCCUACGGGAGGCAGCAGUGGGGAAUAUUGGACAAUGGGCGAAAGCCUGAUCCAGCCAUGCCGCGUGUGUGAAGAAGGUCUUCGGAUUGUAAAGCACUUUAAGUUGGGAGGAAGGGCAGUAAGCGAAUACCUUGCUGUUUUGACGUUACCGACAGAAUAAGCACCGGCUAACUCUGUGCCAGCAGCCGCGGUAAAAC